rnacentral:rRNA from 1 species
AUUGAACGCUGGCGGCAGGCCUAACACAUGCAAGUCGAGCGGAGUGGCGGACGGGUGGGUAAUGCCUAGGAAUGUGCCUGGUAGUGGGGGAUAACGUCCGGAAACGGGCGAUAACACCGCAUACUAUCAGAUGAGCCUAGGUCGGAUUAGAUAGGUGGUGGGGUAAAGGCCUACCAAGGGGACGAUCCGUAACUGGUCUGAGAGGAUGCUCAGUCACACUGGAACUGAGACACGGUCCAGACGCCUACGGGAGGCAGCAGUGGGGAAUAUUGGACAAUGGGCGAAAGCCUGAUCCAGCCAGGCCGCGUGUGUGAAGAAGGUCUUCGGAUUGUAAAGCAAUUUAAGUUGGGAGGCGUUACCAGCAGAAUAAGCACCGGCUAACUUCGUGCCAGCAGCCGCGGUAAUAC